rnacentral:rRNA from 1 species
GAAGAGGGGGACAACAGUUGGAAACGACUGCUAAUACCGCAUGAAGCAUAGGGGUCGCAUGAUCUUUAUGCCAAAGAUUUAUCGCUUCAAGAUGGCCUCGCGUCUGAUUAGCUAGUUGGCGGGGUAACGGCCCACCAAGGCGACGAUCAGUAGCCGGACUGAGAGGUUGAACGGCCACAUUGGGACUGAGAUACGGCCCAGACUCCUACGGGAGGCAGCAGUGGGGAAUAUUGGGCAAUGGGCGCAAGCCUGACCCAGCAACGCCGCGUGAAGGAAGAAGGCUUUCGGGUUGUAAACUUCUUUUAAGAGGGAAGAACAGAAGACGG